rnacentral:rRNA from 1 species
UACGGGGGGAGCAAGCGUUGUUCGGAUUUACUGGGCGUAAAGCGUGCGCAGGCGGUUCGUUAUGUCCGAUGUGAAAGCCCCGAGCUUAACUUGGGAAUGGCAUUGGAAACUGGCGGGCUGGAGUGCGGCAGAGGGGGGUGGAAUUCCACGUGUAGCAGUGAAAUGCGUAGAGAUGUGGAGGAACACCGAUGGCGAAGGCAGCCCCCUGGGCCGACACUGACGCUCAGGCACGAAAGCGUGGGGAGCAAACAGG